ensembl:lncRNA uncharacterized LOC110069814
AUUAUCUCCAGGUUAAAUUUUUCCAGCUGGCUUUUUAUAAAGCCUGACAACUUUCAGCCACAGAAGUAAUGAAUCAUGCAGUGUCCCAACCUCUGAAAAGAAAUGUGUGUUCUGUUAAUGCUCCUGAACCAUUCCGUAUGCAUAUUGCUAUCAAGCCAAGGGUUCCACCAUGUGUUAUUGGUGUGGCAGCUGGAUUUCAAGAAACAAGGUCAUCCAUAAAAGUUGGAAGCGAGCCUAUGAUAGACAGAAAAGCUCACAUCAGUAAAUCUUUUCAGGAAUGCUUAGGUGAAGAGAACGGCUAUUUGGGAAUGUAUAAAACCUUACAGAAGGAAAAUCAGCAACUCAAAAAAACACUAAAAGAAAAGGAUUUGAUUAUAACAAGAUUAAUGAAGAUUAUUGAAAACCAGGUUACCAAGUAUAACAAAGCAAUUGAAUUAGAAAAAGAACAUCAGAAAGAGACUGAAAGGCGAUUAGAGGAGUCGGAGCGCUUAGUCAAGGAGCAGAUCCAGUUGCUAGAUGACACCAUAAGACAUUACACGAAAAUCAUUCAAGAACAGCACACACAGCAUGCAGAGCUGAUAUCUGAAAUGAAAAAGCAGAAUGAGGCUGAUAUAAGGUGCAGAGAAGAAAAGAUUGCCAAGCUGAAACAAUACAUUUCUGAGACUUUCGAAGAAAAAUCCCGCGAACAUCAACAGCAGAUAGAUGAACUGAUGAGAGAAAUAAAUAAAUUCAUGGAGAUGUCACACAUUCUUAAAACAUGAAAAAGAAUUGGGCUCAAAAAAGGAAUCUGAAAAGAUCAAGAAGUAAAUCAUAUCUCGAGAGAUCUUUGAGCGGGUCUGAAAAGAAUACUCACCCUGCUUCG